rnacentral:rRNA from 1 species
CGAACGGGUGAGUAAUGCUUGGGAAUCUAGCUUAUGGAGGGGGAUAACUACGGGAAACUGUAGCUAAUACCGCGUAAUAUCGAAAGAUUAAAGUGUGGGACCUUCGGGCCACAUGCCAUAAGAUGAGCCCAAGUGGGAUUAGGUAGUUGGUGAGGUAAAGGCUCACCAAGCCGACGAUCUCUAGCUGGUCUGAGAGGAUGACCAGCCACACUGGGACUGAGACACGGCCCAG